CCUACGGGAGGCAGCAGUGAGGAAUAUUGGUCAAUGGGCGUAAGCCUGAACCAGCCAAGUCGCGUGAGGGAUGAAGGUUCUAUGGAUCGUAAACCUCUUUUAUACGGGAAUAAAGUGCUGGACGUGUCCCGUUUUGUAUGUACCUUAUGAAUAAGGAUCGGCUAACUCCGUGCCAGCAGCCGCGGUAAUACGGAGGAUCCGAGCGUUAUCCGGAUUUAUUGGGUUUAAAGGGUGCGUAGGUGGCCUUUUAAGUCAGUGGUGAAAGUCUGUGGCUCAACCAUAAAAUUGCCGUUGAAACUGGGAGGCUUGAGUACGUUAGAGGUAGGCGGAAUGCGUGGUGUAGCGGUGAAAUGCUUAGAUAUCACGCAGAACUCCGAUUGCGAAGGCAGCCCGC
rnacentral:rRNA from 1 species